CUUUAGAAGCAGUUCAAGGCGAAGAACCUCCAAGGUCUUUAGAAGAGCCAGUGGGAGUAGUUCCUCAAAGCGUUGUUCACUAGAGGAAAAAUCCUUAUAAGUUUCUCAUUAAAGGUUGCCCUUAUCACACAAGAGCAACCUUUGAUGAUUGAAAAAAUAAAUUAAUUAAAUCAUUUAAUUAAUUCCCUCCAAAAUAAACAGCGAAAAAUUUCCUUAAGGCACCUUCACCGUACUUCAUUCCUCCCUCUGCUCCUUCACCGUAAUUCAUCACAUCGCUGGCGCCGCUCCCUCCUCCCUCUCCUCCUUCACCGUCGCUGGCCGCUGCUCCCUCCUCCAUCUCCUCCUUCACUGUCGCUUGCCGCUGCUCCCUCCUCCCUCUGCUCCUUCACCGUCUAACCGUCUUUUUGUUGCAAAUUCGCCUGGCCAAAUUGUUUUCUUCCUACCACUACAGCUCUAAACAGAAGUAGAGGCAAAAGCAGAAGAAGCUUAAUCAAUGGAUAGUUGCUUCAGGACUUCAAUUUGCCGCCAAAUGCGCCGGAAGAUGCUCGUGUUCGGUGGCGGAAAGCCGUCGGAUCACUCAUUCUCAAUCGCCGUCGUCGUUUCCGUUAUGUUACUAAUCUUAAAAAACGCUCUCAAGAUGCCAAAACUCUUCAGGUGUUCAUGUUUCUUGCUGGAGAUUUUGAUCUCGAUAAUGCUGGAGGUUUGAUGAGAUGGUUGCUGGUUGCUGAAAGACGUGCAUUUGACUACUUGUGCAUUUGACUACUUGAUCAUAAGUUGUACUCGGGUGUUGUUUCAGUUAUUCAGUUCCACUUCUUGGUCUUGUACAUUUUGAUCUUUUCAUCCGGGUAGCUCAUUCAGAAUUAGGUGAAUUUAUCCUUUCUUAUUGGACUAGGUACUUCAAUUUGACUGUUGAUGUUUUAAUUCAUGGAAAUUCUCUCUU